UACGAAGGGGGCUAGCGUUGCUCGGAAUUACUGGGCGUAAAGGGCGCGUAGGCGGACAGUUUAGUCAGAGGUGAAAGCCCAGGGCUCAACCUUGGAACUGCCUUUGAUACUGGCUGUCUUGAGUUCGGGAGAGGUGAGUGGAAUGCCGAGUGUAGAGGUGAAAUUCGUAGAUAUUCGGCGGAACACCAGUGGCGAAGGCGACUCACUGGCCCGAUACUUACGCUGAGGCGCGAAAGCGUGGGGAGCAAACAGG
rnacentral:rRNA from 1 species